rfam:Pseudoalteromonas sp. P1-25 AN393_contig000011, whole genome shotgun sequence.
UUUUUCUGUUGGCAAAUUAGUCGAAAGGCUAAGACGCAAAGUUUCCGGUCUAAGGUUUAAACUAUGAUAGCGGGGCUGCUGGG